UACGUAGGGGGCAAGCGUUGUCCGGAAUCAUUGGGCGUAAAGCGCGUGUAGGCGGCCAGGUAAGUCCGUUCUGAAAGCCCGGGGCUCAACCCCGGGAGGCGGAUGGAUACUGCUUGGCUCGAGUCCGGAAGAGGCGAGUGGAAUUCCCGGUGUAGCGGUGAAAUGCGCAGAUAUCGGGAGGAACACCAAUGGCGAAGGCAGCUCGCUGGGACGGUACUGACGCUGAGGCGCGAAAGCGUGGGGAGCAAACAGG
rnacentral:rRNA from 1 species